UAUGAAACAUAGUUGGAGAUGGCCAUCAGCCAUAACUGCCUUAGAACAUGGAUAGCCUCCACUGGUCCUUCCACUAUUGAAACUUCCACUUACUUGAAGUCUCACCAUUACCUGUCCAUUGCUCUACCAGAAAUCCCAAGAAAGCAGUAACUCCUCUCAUCUCUCUAUUAGAAAUGGAGAUUAUGGGUGUGGAAAAAUGUGACUUUCUGGAGUCCUCAACAGAACAACAAGUUAAGAUGCAGGAAUGUUAUACAGAGCAAACUUCGGAGUGUCCAGCACAGUAAAUAAGAGGUCCUACCUUCAUGGGGUCGCUAGGCAACAUGCAUGCCAGCAAGCACCACUGUGAAGGUUUACCUGCAGCAUCGGGUAGAUUGCCUCAAUGGGAAGCCGCGGUUAAAUUCCACUGAGGCUGCACUUUGAAGAAGCAUAAUAAAUUUGUGGUAGUGCUGUCUCCCCUGCGAGGAAUACGCCUCGAUAGCUGGCAUUCACAUUCUCUUUCUCAAAUUGCUUCUAAAAGCAUUAUUCUGUCCGGAAUGACAGAAAUCCCUGAGGUUGCCGGAUCAGGUCUGGAAACCACCUUGGGAUUCAGACACCAGGAGAGGUGACCUUGAGUCCACGGUUGGCUAUGAGCAUGGAAACCCUUGGGGACUUUAUCCGUAAAGUAAGAAGACUCGAAUAGAUGAUUUGAAAGGCUCCUUUCAGCUCAGAUAAGGUAAAAUGUUUUGAAAAAGCUUUCUAAGAUGUUAGAGUCAAAAACGUAUGUGAGAGAAUGCAUUAUGGAAUUUGCUCUCAGUGUAUUCUACUUAAAAUGUCAGUAUUCUCUCUGUACUUUGGGAUGUCUGUUUAUUGUGUUAUAUUUUUAAUGGAAGCUAUAAAAUAUUGGGUGACAUAUAUUAUACUACACAUUAGACUUAUGGGUCAUAGAGAAACGUCUUGAUAAAGAAGGCAACGGAUACACUCAGGUGAAAAGCCAUCUUAACUAGGGUCUUCUGUUCUUUGUGGUACAUCAGGAGCAAGGAAAUAUUGGAAUAAACCCUGCUGACUAACUCCAGACUAUUCUGUAUCUGCAUAGCAUUGACAUACAUAUUAGUGGUUUUAUCUAUAUAUUUUUCAAUCAGAUACUUAGAACAAGAUUUGUAAAAGUCUUCCGUUCACAACUCUCUGUCACCACAAAUUGUCAUGUACCUUGCCAUUUUUAAUUUCGUCUCCUUUUUAAUUAAAACAUGAAUUGUUACUCAGUUUUUCCCUGUUUGGGCUUAUUUUUGAAGUUAUAAAACGACCUUAUCUGGGGCUGAAGUGAUGACUGGGCAAGUAAGAGCAUUUGGUUUUGGUAUACUGACAGAGAGCUGGGGUUCAGUCCCCAGUACUAACAUGGUGGCUGUGGUGGUUUGAAUAAAAAUGGCCUCCACUGGCCUAUAGGGAGUGACCCGAUUAGUAAGUGUGAUGGUUUGUAUGUGCUCGGUCCAGGGAGUGGCACUAUUUGGAGGUGUGGCUCUGUUGGAGUGGAUGUGGUCCUGUUGCAGUAGGUGUGUCACUGUGGGUGUGGGCUUUAAGACUCUCACCCUAGCUGCCUGGAAGUCAGUAAGCUGCUAGCAGCCUUCAGAUUAAGAUGUAGAACUCUCAGCUCCUCCUGCAUCGUACCUGCCUGGACGCUGCCAUGUUCCUGCCUUGAUGAUAAUGGACUGAACCUCUGAAUCCCAAGUAAGUGUUGUCCUUAUAAGAGUUGCCUUGAACAUGGUGUCUGUUCACAGCAAUAAAGCCCUAAGACAGGAGUUGUGGC
rnacentral:lncRNA from 1 species